GACGUAGGGUGCAAGCGUUGUCCGGAUUCACUGGGCGUAAAGAGCGCGUAGGCGGUCUGUUAAGUGAGAAGUGAAAUCUCCAGGGCUCAACCCGGAAACGGCUUUUCAUACUGGCAGACUAGAGGGAUGCAGAGGUUUGUGGAAUUCCUGGUGUAGCGGUGAAAUGCGCAGAUAUCAGGAGGAACACCGGUGGCGAAGGCGGGACUCUGGGCCGAUACUGACGCUGAGGAGCGAAAGCGUGGGGAGCAAACAGG
rnacentral:rRNA from 1 species